CUGACCUUAGCUCAGUUGGUAGAGCUGGUGGACUGUAGUUGGACUAAUCUAAAUUGGAAAUCCUUAGGUCGCUGGUUUGAUUCCGGCAGGUUGGA
rnacentral:tRNA from 1 species